UGGGAGAACCAAGAGAUCCGUUGUCGAAAGUUGUGUAUAGUUUGUUGGCCAGUGACGGUCCAACCAAGUUCCACGUUCAUACUAACCAUUCGAGUUUGUAGCGAAGAAAGACCCCAAGAGAGGCCACAAAAAACUUCUCUGAAGCCUUUCUCCAAGACAGUGCACACGGGUUUGUGGAUGUAUAGUGGGUGUAGGCGGCCAGGGACACUUUUUGGCGUCCGCAUGGCCUGCCCAAAUCUUCACUAAUGAUCCUUCUGC
rnacentral:misc_RNA from 1 species